rnacentral:rRNA from 1 species
AUGUCAUGGCAUAAUCUUUUGUCCCGUCUGGAUGCGAUUAGCCUGACAGAAGGGCGGGAUGUGUUUCGCUGGAACCUUACUACAUCAGGGUCUUUCACCGUAGACUCUAUGUAUUAUGCGCUCACGCAUUUUGAGGUACUGGUGAGUAAUAGUAAGAAAAUUUGGCGGUCGAAGAUACCACUAAAAGUUAAAGUCUUCAUGUGGUAUCUUUGUAGGGGAGUUGUUCUAACCAAAGACAACCUCGCACGGCAUAAUUGGCAAGGGAGUAAGAACUGUUGUUUUUGUACUCAUGAUGAGACCAUCAGACACCUCUUUUUCCAAUGCAACUUUGCACGUUCUACGUGGUCAGUCAUCCAAAUAGCGUCAAGUUUAUAUCCGCCCACAAGUGUUGCCAAUAUUUUUGGUCAUUGGUUUGACGGUAUUUCAAAUAGGUUCAAAACGCUAUUAAGGAUGGGAGCGUAUGCCUUACUAUGGUCACUUUGGCUAUGUAGAAAUGAUUUUGUUUUUAAUGACAAAAAUGCUUCUCCUUUGCAGGCUAUUUUCCGUUGUACGCACUCGCUUCGUAUGUGGUCUAUGGUACAACGAGCGGAGGUCCACCGUUGUUCAAGGCGGUGUGUACGCGGUUGGAGCAGGUGGCUACGGAGGUUUUUACCCAACAUAGGUGGCAGCAUAACCUCCGGAUCGGCCCAUCUCAUCUUUCGACAUAGGCACAGUGUCGGUCUAUAG